AGAUGUGAGGGCAAUCUGGCUUCGACAUCUGUCACCCCAUUGAUAACUAGGGUUGAUUCGGCUGAUCUGGCUGGCUAGGGGGGUGUCCCCUUCUUCCUCACUACUCCAUGUGCUUCCCUCCCAAAACUGUGUACUUGGUCAAAGAGGAAGGAGGUGGGAAGGGAAGAACAGGAGGGGGGAGGAGAACAAGAGAACUGAGACAGGAGAGGAAUAGAGGAGGGCAAGAAAGGAGAUGCCUUGAUAGAGGGAGACAGUACAGGUAU
rnacentral:snRNA from 1 species